UGCUAUUAUUAUUAAUACAUUAUACUCUGGGUAAUGAACAAUCAUAAAAAUCCCCAACCCAACAGCAUCCCUAAUAAUUACUGUGGCACUAGUUAUAAAACUUGGACUCUCCCCAUUCCAUUUUUGAGUCCCAGAAAUAACAGAAGGAAAUCCACUAAUAUCAGGCAUAAUCCCAUUAACAUGACCAAAACGGGUACCAAUUUCAAUUCUACUCCAAGUAUCAUCAAUUGACCUAAACAUAAUACCAAUCAUUGCUAUAAUAUUAAUUCUUGUAGGAGGCUGAGGACUAAAUCAGACACAAUGACAAAAAAACUUAACCUAUUCAUCAAUUACAAUAAUCUUGUCUACGAAUUUACAUUAUACUAAAAAUUACUGUAUUCAUAAUAUUCAGUUUAAACACAACUAUCACAACAUUAUCACUUCCACAUACAUAAAAUAAAUUAUCACUAAUAACUUCCACAAUCCUUAUAAUCCUAUUAUCUUUAGGGUUACAAUCACCACUUACAGGAUUUUUACCCAAAUUAAUCAUUAUUCUGGAAUUAACCCCCAAAAUAGCAUUAUUAUACCAAAAUUUAUAGUUAUCAUGCAUUAUUCAACUUACAUUUUUAUAUACAAUUGUUAGUGAUGUUGAGCAUCAUUAACAAUAUUCCCAACAACCAACAACAUGAAAACAAAGAGACAAUUCAAAAAUACAAAACAUUCUUUCUAUCAUUACUUGUUAUACUAUCAACCUUUUUCCCUCUGACUUGCACCAAUAUUCUCAACA
rnacentral:lncRNA from 1 species